GGGGAGGACUUUUGUUUUGUUUAAAAAAAUAGAAUGCCCUUUUUUUUUUUUCCCCUCCCUUCUCUGAAUGGCCAGGGUGAGGUAAUGCAUCGGAGAUGUGAACUUCAGCAGAGCGGUGCCAUAAAGCCUGCAGUAGUGCCUAUUCAGUAGUGCAGCUGUCUGAAGAACUCAGAUAAUACCACAAAAAUUCCCCGCCCCAGAGCACUCCAUCACCUACGGGACCCUGGCCCAUGCACUGCGUGGGGACACCGCCACAUGCCAGCAUCCUGAAUUUAUACCUGUCCAAGAGACGCUUUCUAUGAAGCAUUUUCCAGCAUGGUCCAAUUACAAGCAAACUACUGGUAUAAGCAAAGAACUCCUCAGUACUCCAAAGAAUAUUAAGGCGAUGCUUCAGCCCACGCAGGGCACCUCCACCCGCCUCAUUUCAGCACGGGAUAAAACGACGUGCACAGUUCGGACCUGUGCGUGUCCUCAAACACAUUUCUGAAGGGGCAGCAGGGCCGGCAGGGUGGUGGUCUGGCCGGUUCCAGCACCUGCUGCCCUCCCCACGAUGGGCGCAUGGCACCGCUCCUGCCUGUGGCUCCCCGGGAUGCCCGGUCCCAGGCUGGGAUGUGGUUGCGCAAGGACAUUAUUAUGCCAAGCACUGAAUAAACACAGAACAAAAAGUUGGCUCCUCUGACUG
rnacentral:lncRNA from 1 species